rnacentral:tRNA from 1 species
AAAAUCCGUCGACUUUAGAAAUCGUGAGGGUUCAAGUCCCUUU